UGGGGAAUCGUCUAGUGGUAGGACACGUGAUUCUGGAUCACGGUGCGAAGGUUCGAAUCCUGGUUCCCCAGCCA
rnacentral:tRNA from 1 species